rnacentral:rRNA from 1 species
CGGACGGGUGAGUAAUGUCUGGGAAACUGCCUGAUGGAGGGGGAUAACUACUGGAAACGAUAGCUAAUACCGCAUAACGUCGCAAGACCAAAGAGGGGGACCUUCGGGCCUCUUGCCAUCGGAUGUGCCCAGAUGGGAUUAGCUAGUAGGUGGGGUAAUGGCCCACCUAGGCGACGAUCCCUAGCUGGUCUGAGAGGAUGACCAGCCACACUGGAACUGAGACACGGUCCAG